UGAACGCUAGCGACAGGCUAACACAUGCAAGUCGAGGGGCAGCAUAAAAGUAGCAAUACUUGGUCGGCGACCGGCGCACGGGUGAGUAACGCGUAUGCAACCUACCUAUCAGAGGGGAAUAACCCGGCGAAAGUCGGACUAAUACCGCAUAAAACAGGGGCACCGCAUGGUGAUAUUUGUUAAAGAAAUUCGCUGAUAGAUGGGCAUGCGUUCCAUUAGGUAGUUGGUGAGGUAACGGCUCACCAAGCCGACGAUGGAUAGGGGAACUGAGAGGUUGGUCCCCCACACUGGUACUGAGACACGGACCAGACUCCUACGGGAGGCAGCAGUGAGGAAUAUUGGUCAAUGGGCGGGAGCCUGAACCAGCCAAGUCGCGUGAAAGGAAGAAGGAUCUAUGGUUCGUAAACUUCUUUUGCAGGGGAAUAAAGUGCAGGACGUGUCCUGUUUUGUAUGUACCCUGAGAAUAAGGAUCGGCUAACUCCGUGCCAGCCGCUGC
rnacentral:rRNA from 1 species